rnacentral:rRNA from 1 species
CAUGGCUGUCGUCAGCUCGUGUCAUGAGAUGUGGUUAAGUCCCGCAACGAGCGCAACCCUCGCCUUUAGUUGCCAGCAUUCAGUUGGGCACUCUAGAGGGGACUGCCGGUGUCAAACCGGAGGAAGGUGGGGAUGACGUCAAGUCCUCAUGGCCUUUAUGUCUAGGGCUACACACGUACUACAAUGGCCGGUACAAAGGGCAGCCACUCAGCGAUGAGGCGCUAAUCCCAUAAAGCCGGUCUCAGUCCGGAUCGCAGUCUGCAACUCGACUGCGUGAAGUUGGAAUCGCUAGUAAUCGUAGAUCAGCGUGCUACGGUGAAUACGUUCCCGGGCCUU